GUCCACGCUGUAAACGAUGGGCACUAGGUGUCCGAGGUAUUGACCCCUUGGGUGCCGCAGCUAACGCAUUAAGUGCCCCGCCUGGGGAGUACGGUCGCAAGAUUAAAACUCAAAGGAAUUGACGGGGGCCCCGCACAAGCGGUGGAGCAUGUGGUUCAAUUCGACGCAACGCGAAGAACCUUACCUGGGCUAGACAACGGUGGACCGUCCUAGAAAUAGGACUUUCCCUUCGGGGACUGCCGGUUCAGGUGCUGCAUGGCUGUCGU
rnacentral:rRNA from 1 species